CGCCGCGCCGCCCCCCCCGCCCUCUCCCUCGCCCGCCGGCCAAGGUGCCCUCCGCGCCGCCGGCCGGCACCCACCUGCGGCGGGCGGCAGCGGGCCGGGCCCGGUGACAGAUCCUCCAUCGCAGCUCUCAUGACGUCCCUGAUGUCUUAGACACACCUUCAGAAACGGGAAGCUGGUCUGUCGUGUGUAGAGAAGCUAUGGAGCGGCACAGGUCACCCUGCCGUGGAGGAAACAGGUUGCAGACUCACCUGUCUGGUUAAUGACUCGCCUCUGGCACCCUGGUCCUUCUGGUAGAGCCUGGUCACUCCCUGUCCACAGGGCUGGCACACUGUCCUGUCCUGUCCUGUCCUCUGGGGAUGGCUCUGAGGCCUCACUUAGCAAACUGGACUCUUCCCGGCUGUCCUAUUUAAAUCCUCCAGCUUAGCCCUGCUGCCUGGUUCGUGGUGACAAGAUGGGAAAUGUAUUCUGUCGUUCAAGAAAAUCAAUUUAAAUCCCUGGAGAACUAGAUGCCACUGCCAGCAAAUUUCAGUAAGAGAAGGGAGGAAAUGGCAAAUUCCUUGGAAAAAGUAGAGAGAGAUACAGGAUUCUAGAAAUCUAAUUAUUGAGCCUACACUAUUCAUUAAGCAAAGACAAACAGGCUCUGUGACGCUGGUUUAUGUUUUCCCAUUUCUCAAACUGGCAGUUCCAGAUUUGGCAGCACCGUUGUGCAGCAAAGGGUCUUUUUGGGGACCCUGGUGUACAAAAAGCCAUGGCUGUUCCCCUGUCGAAGCAGAGACCUCCAGAGAAGGUUCCCUUGACACAGUAUUUUUAGUGUAACUUCUAGGAUAAGCUGCUCAGAAAAAAAUGCUUUAUUUUCUCAGCUGAACCUGCAAGUCUCAUUCUGAAUGUGGUUAAAUAAAGUUGGGAAAUUCAUUAAAUAACACAGGUUUUUA